AUGGGCAACUUCAACCAGAUUUACCGAGCUCGAGAUAAAAAUAAUAGGAACAUCAAUCGCAGCCGCCUCAACCGCUUCCGCGCUAUGCUAGACUCUUGUGAACUAAAAGAGAUCCACCUCCAGAACAGACGCUUCACCUGGAGUAACGAGCGUCAGAACCCUACUUUGUGCAAGCUGGACUCGGUUUUCUGCAAUGCCGACUGGGACAUGCAUUUUGAUUCUCAUGUGCUUCACGCCAUUUCUUCUUCGCUCUCGGACCAUUGCCCCCUUCUCCUU
rnacentral:rRNA from 1 species